UAUUUUUUAUUUUUAUCAACCAACAAAUAGGGAAAAAUUUAUACUGAUAAUAAAGAUAAAUGACAUUCCCUUUUUCAAAAUUUACACAAUGCCAUGAAAUUUAUCUAACUUUUAAUAAGGGGAAGCUGAAUUUGGUGUACGAACUUAAGAAGUAGUGUUAUAAAAAAUUUAAUUUUAUUCUCCUUCAGUUCCAGAGAGUUCCACUCCUUAUAAUAUUUAUUAAUAACACCAGGAAAAAUUAGGAAAUUUCUUUUAAAGGUCAUUUACCAUUUCAACCUUCCUUUUCAAGUUUCAUAAACAAACUACUUAAAAUUCACUCUUGGCAGUCUCAAAAAUACACAUCACAUCUCUUGAAUCAUAUUCCUAUAGUAAAAUUCCAAAGUGAAUCAGUUUUAAUUUAUUUUCAGCAGAUGUAAUACAUAUUUUAUAUACACAUUUUCAUUUAAAAUUAAGGUUUUUGGCACAGAAUCCCAGGCCUGUUGUUUUCAAAUGGUGUCUCCACUGCUUUCCACCAACCAACUAGGGGGAGUUUGGAAGGAAACGGUGCUCUCAGUGCCUGGAUCUUGUAUGUAUGAGCGCUCCCCUCUGCCUCCCACCACAGCCCAUCAGUGUCCCGAGCCUUCAGAGCAUGAGAAUAAAGGCUAGAAUAGUUACUUCUGCACAUCGGUGGGGGAGAAGAUGGGGGCAGAGAGCCGCUGCCAAGGUUCCUAAGCACUGUGUCUUUAAAUUUAUGCAUGUUUCGCAUCAGUAAUACUGCGGCCACGCGUACCCUUUGCUGUAACUCCAGUGUGAAUCUGUGGAGCUACACGAGUGGCUUAAUUCAUGUCCAAACCCAGACAUUUAGAAUCUUGUUCCAGUCACGUUUGAAAGAGGGUUUUUAUUUUUUCCAGAAAAACUGUCAGUCCAAGAAAAUCUGCAUAUAAGAGACGGAAACUCAAGUCAUCUUUAAUGCUUAUGUCCCACUGCUUGCUCUUCCUGCUGUGCUUUUAAAAGCACUCAGCCUCUGGAUUCAACGUUCCCGAAUGCGCUACAGAAACAUUCCCAAGCAGAUGGUCACAGAUGGGCGUGAAGGGGACGCUCCUGCCUCCUCCUCCAGCAUCUCACACUCUAACUGGCCCACGCGUUUCAGCAGGUGCUGCGCUGGCUCCCCACUCGCCAGAGGCCCCAUAGUGUUGCUCCAUCGAAGCUGCCCCCCGUCUGUCACACCCACAGACGGGUGUCACCCACACAGCCUUUCUCUUUGCACCAUUUACACACGAAGAGGCGAUGGAAUCCAUAUGUCACCCCAACACACAUAGAAUGA